rnacentral:rRNA from 1 species
AACGACAUGAANCUUAACUGGACCA